rnacentral:rRNA from 1 species
CCUACGGGUGGCAGCAGUGAGGAAUAUUGGUCAAUGGUCGGGAGACUGAACCAGCCAAGCCGCGUGAGGGAGGAAGGUACAGAGUAUCGUACACCUCUUUUGUCAGGGCACCAAGACUGGGACGCGUCCCCGGAUUAGUGUACCUGAAGAAAAAGCAUCGGCUAACUCCGUUCCAGCAGCCGCGGUACUACGGAGGAUGCUAGCGUUAUCCGGAUUUAUUGGUGUUAACGGGUGCGCGGGCGGUCUGUUAAGUCAGCGGUCAAAGCCCGGGGCUCAACCCCGGCCCGCCGUUGAAACUGGCAGUCUCGAGUUGGAGAGAAGUAUGCGGAAUGCGCGGUGUAGCGGUGAAAUGCAUAGAUAUCGCGCAGAACUCCGAUUGCGAAGGCAGCAUGCAGGCUCCACACUGACGCUGAGGCACGAAAGCGUGGGUAUCGAACAGGAUUAGAUACCCGUGUAGUC